AUUGAACGCUGGCGGCAUGCCUUACACAUGCAAGUCGAACGGUAGCAGGUUAAGCUGACGAGUGGCGAACGGGUGAGUAAUGUAUCGGAACGUGCCCAGUCGUGGGGGAUAACUGCUCGAAAGAGCAGCUAAUACCGCAUACGACCUGAGGGUGAAAGCGGGGGAUCGCAAGACCUCGCGCGAUUGGAGCGGCCGAUAUCAGAUUAGGUAGUUGGUGAGGUAAAGGCUCACCAAGCCGACGAUCUGUAGCUGGUCUGAGAGGACGACCAGCCACACUGGGACUGAGACACGGCCCAGACUCCUACGGGAGGCAGCAGUGGGGAAUUUUGGACAAUGGGCGCAAGCCUGAUCCAGCCAUGCCGCGGGCGGGAAGAAGGCCUUCGGGUUGUAAACCGCUUUUGUCAGGGAAGAAAAGGUUCUGGCUAAUACCUGGGACUCAUGACGGUACCUGAAGAAUAAGCACCGGCUAACUACGU
rnacentral:rRNA from 1 species